rnacentral:rRNA from 1 species
GACAGAGGGUGCAAACGUUGUUCGGAAUUACUGGGCAUAAAGCGCGUGUAGGCGGCCCUGUAAGUCGGGUGUGAAAUCCCACGGCUCAACCGUGGAAGUGCAUUCGAAACUACAGGGCUAGAGUUCUGGAGAGGAAGGUGGAAUGCUUGGUGUAGAGGUGAAAUUCGUAGAUAUCAAGCGGAACACCGGUGGCGAAGGCGGCCUUCUGGACAGUAACUGACGCUGAGACGCGAAAGCGCGGGGAGCAAACAGG